CAGCCGUAAACAAUGUGCGUUAGGUGUGUCGGUAACCACGCGUUACUGAUGCGCCGAAGAGAAAUCGUGAAACGCACCACCUGGGAAGUACGGUCGCAAGGCUGAAACUUAAAGGAAUUGGCGGGGGAGCACCACAACAGGUGGAGCCUGCGGUUUAAUUGGAUUCAACGCCAGACAUCUCACCGGAUAAGACAGCUGAAUGAUUGUCAAUCUGAAGACCCUGCAUGACUAGCUGAGAGGAGGUGCAUGGCGUCAGUGACU
rnacentral:rRNA from 1 species